AGGUUUCCACAUGCUGCCUCCAUGCUCAAUCGCCAUGAUAAGCUCCUACCUCGGCCUCCCUCUCUCUCUCUAUCUCUCUCCUCUUUGUCCAUUUCUCUGUUUUCUUUCUCUCAAAUCCGCGUUUGUCACAAGCCAUCCCUGUUGCAUCCCAAACCCCUACACCGCUAGCAUGUGAUCAUCAAAAAUCCACCGCAUUGUCACCAUAACCAAGUCGAAUGGAAGUUCCAUGCUGUCAAGCCAAAUCAUACAUUGCACACCCCUACCCAUAAACUCAAGAUGGGUCAAGCUAGAUAGUAGGUAAACCACUAGACUUUACUAGUGUGGAGUUAACUUUUGGUUUGAUUAAAGGUUAGGAAUUUUCAUAUGAGUGUAUGCGUAGUGGCAUUUGUGGAUUUGUACAACUAGGCCAUUGUAAGGUUAAGGUCUUGGUUUAGCAAGCAUUGGGGAUUUUAGUAGUUGUUUGAUAAGGUUCAAAUGGUAUAUGGUCUGUAUAAAUGGUCGUGAUCUGUUUUCGUGGAGGUGCUAUUGAGUGAAUUUCAGACAGGGAGGAUGAGUUGUGAUUGGAUAUUUGUUAUGGGUUUGUUGAGUUGAAAGUAGAAAUUAGGUGUGAAUGCCUCAAAUGGGUAAGGUUUGGAAAGUUAUUUUUGUGGUUUGGAGUUGAGUAGUAAUAGGGUUAGAAGAAUUGGAACCAUGGAAUUAUCAUCGUGGAGUUAUGAAGUUGUGUCAUCUUAUUUUAGAUGUACUAGUUUAAUUUUAUUAAUUUAUAGUGUAUUAAUUAUAUUUAGGUGACAAACGUUAUUUACUAGCACUGUUGUGAGGAAAUUCAGAGAGAAGUUGAAAAGUUUAGGUAAGCAAUGCUCCUAUACCAGACUUUGUCUAAAAGAACUGAGAUUGAUUUUAU